AACCAAGUAUAUGCCUUAAGAUGCUUUCUUGGAGGUCCCCAGGAGAGCUGGGGAGCACACGAGUCGUCAGUGCCUGUCGUCUGCACAUCAUCAUACGUAGCCCCCUUUGGAUCUCAGAAGUUCCCCAGAUGGGACCCACCAGCAAGAGGGCCCUGUGUUGUUGGAGGUGGCAGCUACCUCUGUGGCUUGUCCCAGGGUCACCAGAAAUUCUGGAGAGAAAUAGAUGUGGUCCGCGAGAUGAAAUAAGUGAAACCUUCACUUCUGCUUAUUUGGAAAGCCUCCCUCAGACUUAGCUUCUUCGUCUGAAAAAUGGGCGUAAUUACUACCUGAUGGGGUUCUUGUGAGAAUCACAUGAGCUAAUCUAUGCUCAGGAUGCAAAGCAUGGAACGCCUCUUGCCUUCUGAAAUUACGUGAGAAGAGCUCCACACCAUUCCUUCAUCCCGAGACUCUCCCAGCCUUGCACAGUCCAGAGAAGGUCACUGCAGAUUAAAAUAGACCUAAAAGACACAUCUACCAAAUGCGGCGUGUGGACUUUAGGUGGAUUCUGACUGAAACCCACCAAUCCCGCUUGAUCCGUGGUUCCACUUUCCACCAUUGCAGUUGUCUGUGGUACAAUUCAAUAAGAUAGUCUUAGGGAGAGAGACCACAUUCACAUAACUUUUAUUACAGUGUAUUAUCAAUUAUUGUUGUUAAACUCUUACUGUGCCUCAUUUAUAAUUACACUUUAUUAUAGGUGUGUAUGUAUAGGAAAAAAUAUCGUAUACAAGGGCUCGGCAUUAUCUGUGGUUUCACGGCAUCCACAGGAUCUUGGACGUACACCCCGCAGAUAAGGGGGGACAGCUAUAUAAAAAUGUAUUCUUGAGAAAAUCAGGAAAAGGCAAAUAAGGAUUGGGCAUUAAAAAAUGCCAAAGUGGCUGGGCGCAGUGGCUCAAGCCUGUAAUCCCAGCACUUUGGGAGGCCUAGGCAGGUGGAUCACCUGAGGUCAGGAGUUUGAAACCAGCCAGGCCAACAUGGGGAAAUCCCAUCUCUACUAAAAAUGCAAAAAUUAGCCGGGCAUGGUUGCGAGUGCCUGUAAUCCUAGCUACUAGGGAGGCUGAGGCAGG
rnacentral:lncRNA from 1 species